rnacentral:rRNA from 1 species
UACGUAGGGGGCAAGCGUUGUCCGGAUUUAUUGGGCGUAAAGAGCGUGUAGGCGGCCGUACAGGUCAGCUGUGAAAACUCGAGGCUCAACCUCGAGACGUCGGUUGAAACCGUACGGCUAGAGUCCGGAAGAGGAGAGUGGAAUUCCCGGUGUAGCGGUGAAAUGCGCAGAUAUCGGGAAGAACACCCGUGGCGAAGGCGGCAUCCUGGACCGACACUGACGCUGAGGAGCGAAAGCCAGGGGAGCAAAGCGGGAU